rnacentral:rRNA from 1 species
CACGCCGUAAACGAUGAGUACUAAGUGUUGGAGAGAUUCAGUGCUGAAGUAAACAUAUUAAGUACUCCGCCUGAGUAGUACGUUCGCAAGAAUGAAACUUAAAGGAAUUGACGGGACCCCGCACAAGCGGUGGAGCAUGUGGUUUAAUUCGAAGCUACGCGAAGAACCUUACCAGGGCUUGACAUGGCGUUAAAGGGUCUAGAAAUAGACAGAUAGCUAUAAUGCACACAGGUGA